rnacentral:misc_RNA from 1 species
GUGAAGAACGUAGCGAAAUGCGAUACGUAAUGUGAAUUGCAGAAUUCAGUGAAUCAUCGAAUCUUUGAACGCAUAUUGCGCUCUCUGGUAUUCCGGAGAGCAUGCUUGUUUGAGUAUCAGUAAACACCUCAACUUCCAUAUCUUUUUUGAAAUGGGAGUUGGACUUGAGUGAUCCCAACGCUUUUCCUCACCGAAAAGUGGCGGGUUACUUGAAAUGCAGGUGCAGCUGGACUUUUCUCUGAGCUAUAAGCAUAUCUAUUUAGUCUGCCUAAAAAACAGAUUAUUACCUUUGCUGCAGCUAACAUAAAGGAGAUUAGUUCUUGUGCUGACUGAUGCAGGAUUCACAAAGACAGGCUUCGGCCGACUUUGUAAACUCGAUCUCAAAUCAAGUAAGACUACCCGCUGAACUUAAGCAUAUCAAUAAGCGAGGA